rnacentral:lncRNA from 7 species
GUGGAACGAGGGUCAUGCGGGCUGGUCACUCCCUGAGACGUCUUGGCCACGGAGAGAUAGGCAAUCAGUGGGCAUGGUCACCACUGACAGAGGAAUGGGAUACCAGACCCUGGGACUGGGCAAACUUGGGCAGGGGAGAGGUGAACAUGGGUGUGGACAGAAGACCUACCACACACACACGCUGCAAUCUGGCUGGAGCUUGAGGAUAGGGAGGAAAACUUCCCUGGACCAAG